rnacentral:rRNA from 1 species
GACGAACGCUGGCGGCGUGCCUAAUACAUGCAAGUCGAGCGAAUGGAUUAAGAGCUUGCUCUUAUGAAGUUAGCGGCGGACGGGUGAGUAACACGUGGGUAACCUGCCCAUAAGACUGGGAUAACUCCGGGAAACCGGGGCUAAUACCGGAUAACAUUUUGAACCGCAUGGUUCGAAAUUGAAAGGCGGCUUCGGCUGUCACUUAUGGAUGGACCCGCGUCGCAUUAGCUAGUUGGUGAGGUAACGGCUCACCAAGGCAACGAUGCGUAGCCGACCUGAUAGGGUGAUCGGCCACACUGGGACUGAGACACGGCCCAGACUCCUGCGGGAGGCAGCAGUAGGGAAUCUUCCGCAAUGGACGAAAGUCUGACGGAGCAACGCCGCGUGAGUGAUGAGGGCUUUCGGGUCGUAACACUCUGUUGUUAGGGAAGAACAAGUGCUAGUUGAAUAAGCUGGCACCUUGACGGUACCUAACCAGAAAGCCACGGCUAACUACGUGCCAGCCGCCGCAGUAA